CUACGAGGAACUGCAGUGGGGAAUAUUGGACAAUGGGCGAAAGCCUGAUCCAGCCAUGCCGCGUGUGUGAAGAAGGCCUUCGGGUUGUAAAGCACUUUCAGUGGGGAAGAAAGCCUUGGGGCUAAUACCCUCGAGGAAGGACAUCACCCACAGAAGAAGCACCGGCUAACUCCGUGCCAGCAGCCGCGGUAAUACGGAGGGUGCGAGCGUUAAUCGGAAUUACUGGGCGUAAAGCGCGCGUAGGCGGUCUGAUAAGCCGGUUGUGAAAGCCCCGGGCUCAACCUGGGAACGGCAUCCGGAACUGUCAGGCUAGAGUGCAGGAGAGGAAGGUAGAAUUCCCGGUGUAGCGGUGAAAUGCGUAGAGAUCGGGAGGAAUACCAGUGGCGAAGGCGGCCUUCUGGACUGACACUGACGCUGAGGUGCGAAAGCGUGGGUAGCAAACAGGAUUAGAUACCCGAGUAGUC
rnacentral:rRNA from 1 species